AUCCAGCUGACGACUCUUAGAUAGGAUGAAACGCGCAUCCUGGAU
rfam:Schistosoma mansoni strain Puerto Rico chromosome W, complete genome